GUUAUCUUACUGCGGAUCAUUAUGACCUGUCGCCGCCCUGUUCUUAAAAAAAAUCUUACGAUUAAGAUGAAAAUUUUAAAACACUGUAAUUCUGUUAAAAUUCUUCACUUGAGCAAAACAAAGUAUACAGUUUGUAUAUACAGAGGUGACGAAACUGGCCUUCUAACUCGGGGCAUGCCUGCACUCAGUUGAGUAUAAGGCAGAGACAAAAAAAUUAUCUUAGUCGUAAGAUUUUUUGUGAAAAUGGCCAUAGACUUAUAAAUUUAUAACAAAUGACAUUUUUUGCCUGAAUCGUAAUGUUCUAUGUUUUCUCUCCUCUUUUUGUUUUCUUUGUUUUCUUUUUUUUUUUAAUCAGAGCGAAAAUUACUCAUCUGAUCUGUUUUUGAACUUACGACCCAUCAUAGAUUCAUGAUAUAUAUUUCACAUAAAACAAGAAUUAAUGCUAUAAAUUAUAAAAUGACCAGUGGCUAGUCAACAGCUGGUGUUUUGUACAUAUGGUAGACAGACACGUGGGAAGAAAAAAAAAACCCGAUUGUAAUUUUAUGUAGAUCAUGUGGUUAACAUGUUUAAUGUGAAAAUUUUAGAUCCAUUACAACUUUGUUACUAAUACAAUUAGAUAAAUGUUAACUUAACGUACAACGAUAGAUGACAGGGAAGGGGGGAGGGGGCAUCGCUUGAUGCAGAGAUGACGUUGUACAACAGUUAACAAUACCCCCUUCUGCGGGCGGGGGGGGGGGGGGGGGCUCCUGAUGCACCCGUAUGCUGUAUUCUUAAUUUUGUUUUGACCUGAUUUGCGUUCUUCAGUGACUAUGAACUACACAGCAUUGUUUACAGUAUGUACAGUUGGAACAGAUUUACAGGAUAAUAGUUUGUAUAUACACUGUACAUUAAUAAUUCUUGUCUUGUGUUUACUGUGGCAUGGAAAAUAAAUUUGUUCAGUUUGUACACACACUUUUUAAAAACAAUCCGAACACGGUUUGUAGAUCGUCAUGUCUCUCCCGAGUAAUUCUAAUUAAUUAAUACAAUGUCGUCCCUUUUUUUCAGAAUGAUUUACUUGAGAGAAAUGCCUAGCGCAGUUGCAGUCAUACUAACAAUGUCAAAAGGCGCUGUGCUGUCAAGUCAGGCCAACACUUUUGUCAAGAAAAUAUUGCUUAAUUUAAGGAUGAAGAGAUUUAUGUGAAAAGAGAAAGCCAAGUCCAGUUGUUGGUCUUUUUCAGGUGUAAAAUAAAUUUUGGUCUUGUCAGAUACAGUGACAGAGCAACCAAACACAACAAAACAUUACAUGUAUCAUGUCAACUGCAGAGCGCCGCACGUGUCAAGCAGCGCGGGAGGGGGGCCUAGAAUUUACACGUCCGCGCGAUAAAUAUAACAUGUUCCUCGCUCCUUUUUACGUAAAGAAUAUGAAAUAUUGUCUCAUUAAAUCCGCACAUGUGAAAUUUACGAGUUCACCUUGUAGUUUUGACGAUUUAAAUUUUCAAUUUUUUUUUUUACAUUUUUAUAUAUGACGAAUUCUUGAAAUGUCUAUAUAAAGCUUCAUGGAGGAAGCCUAGUUCACGCUGACAUGUGCCAUAUAGUAUGAAAACUAGGAACAUCUACUGAAUCCACGUUUUCUUCAAUAUUGUUACAGUAACCCUAAAUAAAUUUUCGGAAAGAUAAUUAUUUUUUUCAGAAUGGUUUAUAGCAUUCCUUCAAAUCAAGAGUAUACAGGAAAAAAAUCUACAACUCAUUCAUCUCCUAAAACCUUGUGGGUUUUUUAAAAAUCAUUUUUUUUUUUUUUUUUUUUUUUUUUUGUGGUGGUCAUGACUAAUUUUGUAUAUAAUAAUAUGCAGCAUUUCGAAAUGCUCGUUGAUCACAAAAAAUUAACUUUGCAUUCGUUGAUACAGCAUAAAGCCAAAUGACAGAAAACUAUCGUCAAUUAACUCCAACAAGUUUGAUAUUUGUAAAACGAGGAAAAAAUGUGAAAAUUUUGAUUAAUUCGAUAAUUUCUUUUAUUUCGCUAACUAAAUACGAUGUUGUGGGUGUUCAGGCGACAUUCUUAUCAAGUGCAAACAACAUAUAAUAGUCUGGGAAAAUAUAUUCUCACGUACAUGUAUUUACCUCCAUCUAUGUAUGAAAAUCAAAAUCCAGACCAGGACCUCGCAUUGGGCUCCAAGGAAAAUGGGAAAGCUGCAUAUCAAAGAAUAAUAGACCGGAAGUUUCCGAGAAAGCUUCUCUCAUAAAGGGAUUUGACAAAUGCCAUAUUGCAGACCAUUGCACGAGUCCGGGAAGUUGGUGGCGAUGGACAAUCAGUAUAAAUAAUUUCUGAAUUACCACAUCUGAACUCCUGACUCCAGUUAUAAUGGUUCAGGAAAAUGUAUCAUGUGUCAUUACAAAUAAAUAAUGGACACUAAUAGCCGCACUGCCAAAUAAUAUCCUGAGUCCAGAAAAGAUAUUGCAGUAGAACCAUCACACAAGUAGCGCUAAUGUGGUGAUUGCAGGCGUCUUGGUCCAUGGUGAAGUGGAGUUGGUCUUCCCAUAUUUUAUCUAACACUAACACACUGACCAAUGUUUUCAAAAUAAUAAAAACCAAUCGAAUAAUCAUAAUGUUCGAUUGAAAAGAGCUCACCAUAUUCAGAGAAGGAUAUUCAUCUGAACACGUAUAACAUUUUUAAAAAGAAAAAUAGCUUUCAACAUAUACGUUUAGAAACUUUUCUGUUUUGAAUACGAGAGAACAAGUCGUAAACAUAACAAUAAAACAAUUGCGAAAGAUGAUGGAGAAAAUUAUGCGAAAUGCCCAGCCACGUAAAACGGGUAUCGAUACUUGAAAAUCAAUGACACUGCGAUAAAACACGGUAUACUACUUUGGACACUCAUCAAUUAUGGAGUUGUGUCAUCCGAUCCCGGACAAGCCAGUGGUCAUUAUUUUAUUGGUAAACCUUUUCAAUGUCGUAUCUAAAGCAAAAAUCAUGCAUACUGUAUAGUGAAUACCAAAAUCUCCCUUUGGAGUAGUCCUAUCUACUUUCUAAUCUCCUGCCUCCGAGAAUUCCAAAAUUGGAUGAAUGUGUGCUACAGGCAAUUUUCAGAACAAAAAUAUCAAUUAUUAAAUGAGGGAUCAAAUGUGAUGAAUAGGUUUGAAAAGUGAUGCCUUAAUCAUUUUAUGAAAAUGGGUAAGCGUCAAAGAGAUCCCGAGGGAAUAGGUGACCACUGGCAACAGCUGAACGUAACCAAAGACGAUACAUAUUCAGAGUCAAUAACACCGUUCAGGUCAGGUGACUUUCCCUGCAGUCAGACUGCCAACACGCGGUGAUAUACACAACAAUAGCAAUCAAAGAAUUAUAAACUGUACAUUUCAAAUAUCAUGUAAAUGUGUUAAUGAAUGAAAUGAUUAUAGACGUGUAUUGGAAAGUGUUCUUUCUUUACGUCCCAUUCGAGACGUUUUCACUCAUAUACAUGUAUAUUGAAACGUCAUCAGCCUUUAGGUGAAGUGCCACAAAUUCUAAACUACGUAACUUAGGGCUCAAGACCGUAGUAUUAGCGGGGGUUCUUUAUCGUGCCGAGAUCAUACCCGUAAUCCCAGCGACUUCCACUUCUAGUAGCGGGCGCUUGGUGGAGGUUCAUUCACACCUAUCUUAAACGCCGUAGGUUUGACGCCGCGCCGUAAUCAAGAAUCAAAGCCGGGAUCUCCAGAGCGAACACGUCCUAACCACUUGGCUACAACAACUAGCCUGUAAGAAAGUUGAAGUCAGAUAAAACACAAACUUCGUUGUAUUUAUAGAGUAAAGAAUUCGUGCAUACCAGUGCCGUAGAUCUCUCCGUACAGCGCUCGCUUGCAGACAGUAUGGCAUACUGUAGUACGAUCACAUGUAGGUAGCUCUCUCGGUAAAGCGCUCACUUGCAGGUAGUAGUAUACGGUAGUGCGAUCACAUGUAGGUAGCUCUCUCGGUAAAGCGCUCACU